CCUACGGGAGACUGCAGUGAGGAAUAUUGGUCAAUGUGCGCGAGCCUGAACCAGCCAAGUCGCGUGAGGGAGGACGGCCCUACGGGUUGUAAACCUCUUUUGCCGGGGAGCAACGGGCGCCACGUGUGGCGUCACUGAGAGUACCCGGAGAAAAAGCAUCGGCUAACUCCGUGCCAGCAGCCGCGGUAAUACGGAGGAUUCGCACGUUAUUCGGAUUUAUUGGGUUUAAAGGGUGCGUAGGCGGAUCGUUAAGUCAGUGGUCAAAUUGAGGGGCUCAACCCCUUCCCGGCAUUGAAACUGGCGUUCUUGAGUGGAAGAGAAGUAUGCGGAAUGCGUGGUGUAGCGGUGAAAUGCAUAGAUAUCACGCAGAACCCCGAUUGCGAAGGCAGCAUGCCGGCUUCCGACUGACGCUGAAGCACGAAAGCGUGGGGAUCGAACAGGAUUAGAUACCCCAGUAGUC
rnacentral:rRNA from 1 species